UACGUAGGCAGCGAGCGUUGUUCGGAUUUACUGGGCGUAAAGGGCGCGUAGGCGGUCGUGACAAGUCACUUGUGAAAUCUCCGGGCUUAACUCGGAACGGUCAAGUGAUACUGUCGUGCUAGAGUACAGAAGGGGCAACUGGAAUUCUCGGUGUAGCGGUGAAAUGCGUAGAUAUCGAGAGGAACACCUGCGGCGAAGGCGGGUUGCUGGGCUGAUACUGACGCUGAGGCGCGAAAGCUAGGGGAGCGAACGGG
rnacentral:rRNA from 1 species